rnacentral:rRNA from 1 species
UAGGGAAUAUUGGACAAUGGGGGCAACCCUGAUCCAGCCAUGCCGCGUGAGUGAUGAAGGCCUUCGGGUUGUAAAGCUCUUUCAGUGGGGACGAUGAUGACGGUACCCGCAGAAGAAGCCCCGGCUAACUUCGUGCCAGCAGCCGCGGUAAUACGAAGGGGGCAAGCGUUGUUCGGAUUUACUGGGCGUAAAGCGCACGCAGGCGGCGAUAUAAGUCAGAGGUGAAAUCCCUGGGCUCAACCUGGGAAUUGCCUUUGCUACUGUAUUGCUGGAGUCCAAGAGAGGGUGGCGGAAUACCCAGUGUAGAGGUGAAAUUCGUAGAUAUUGGGUAGAACACCGGUGGCGAAGGCGGCCACCUGGCUUGGUACUGACGCUCAUGUGCGAAAGCGUGGGGAGCAAA